UAAGGAAUAUUGGUCAAUGGACGAAAGUCUGAACCAGCCAUGCCGCGUGAAGGAUGAAGGUCCUCUGGGAUUGUAAACUUCUUUUAUCUGGGACGAAAAAAAGGGAAUUCUUUCUCACUUGACGGUACCAGAAGAAUAAGCACCGGCUAACUCCGUGCCAGCAGCCGCGGUAAUACGGAGGGUGCAAGCGUUAUCCGGGAUUCACUGGGUUUAAAGGGUGCGUAGGUGGGCAGUUAAGUCAGUGGUGAAAUCUCCGGGCUUAACCCGGGAAACUGCCAUUGAUACUAUCUGUCUUGAAUACUCUGGAGGUAAGCGGAAUAUGUCAUGUAGCGGUGAAAUGCUUAGAUAUGACAUAGAACACCGAUUGCGAAGGCAGCUUACUACGGAGUCAUUGACACUGAG
rnacentral:rRNA from 1 species